AUUAGUGGCGAACGGGUGAGUAACACGUGGGCAAUCUGCCCUUCACUCUGGGACAAGCCCUGGAAACGGGGUCUAAUACCGGAUAACACUCUGUCCUGCAUGGGACGGGGUUGAAAGCUCCGGCGGUGAAGGAUGAGCCCGCGGCCUAUCAGCUUGUUGGUGGGGUAAUGGCCUACCAAGGCGACGACGGGUAGCCGGCCUGAGAGGGCGACCGGCCACACUGGGACUGAGACACGGCCCAGACUCCUACGGGAGGCAGCAGUGGGGAAUAUUGCACAAUGGGCGAAAGCCUGAUGCAGCGACGCCGCGUGAGGGAUGACGGCCUUCGGGUUGUAAACCUCUUUCAGCAGGGAAGAAGCGCAAGUGACGGUACCUGCAGAAGAAGCGCCGGCUAACUACGUGCCAGCAGCCGCGGUAAUACGUAGGGCGCAAGCGUUGUCCGGAAUUAUUGGGCGUAAAGAGCUCGUAGGCGGCUUGUCACGUCGGAUGUGAAAGCCCGGGGCUUAACCCCGGGUCUGCAUUCGAUACGGGCUAGCUAGAGUGUGGUAGGGGAGAUCGGAAUUCCUGGUGUAGCGGUGAAAUGCGCAGAUAUCAGGAGGAACACCGGUGGCGAAGGCGGAUCUCUGGGCCAUUACUGACGCUGAGGAGCGAAAGCGUGGGGAGCGAACAGGAUUAGAUACCCUGGUAGUCCACGCCGUAAACGUUGGGAACUAGGUGUUGGCGAC
rnacentral:rRNA from 1 species